AGGUUGUAGCUCAGUGGUAGAGCAUAUGCUUGGCAUGCACGAGGUUCUGGGUUCAAUCCCCAGUACCUCUG
rnacentral:tRNA from 1 species